GUUAUAGCUCAGUGGUAGAGUGCUUGCCUGGCAUGCAUGAGACACUGGGUUUGAUCCUCAGCAUCACA
rnacentral:tRNA from 1 species